CAGUAGCCGCGGGAAAACGUAGGGUGCAAGCGUUAAUCGGAAUUACUGGGCGUAAAGCGCGCGUAGGUGGUUCGCCAAGUUGGAUGUGAAAUCCCCGGGCUCAACCUGGGAACUGCAUCCAAAACUGGCAAGCUAGAGUAUGGUAGAGGGUGGUGGAAUUUCCUGUGUAGCGGUGAAAUGCGUAGAUAUAGGAAGGAACACCAGUGGCGAAGGCGACCACCUGGACUGAUACUGACACUGAGGUGCGAAAGCGUGGGGAGCAAACAGGAUUAGAGACCCCCGUAGUCCCUGUCUCUUAUAC
rnacentral:rRNA from 1 species